GUGCCAGCCGCCGGGGUAAUACCGGCAGCACGAGCGAUGGCCGCUAUUAUUGGGCCUAAAGCGUCCGUAGCCGGCCGGGCAAGUCCGUCGGGAAAUCCACUCGCCCAACGAGUGGGCGUCCGACGGAAACUGCACAGCUUGGGACCGGAAGGCUCGAAGGGUACGUUCGGGGUAGGAGUGAAAUCCCAUAAUCCCGCACGGACCACCGAUGGCGAAAGCACUUCGAGAAAACGGAUCCGACAGUGAGGGACGAAAGCCAGGGUCUCCAACCGGAUUAGAAACCCGGGUAGUCC
rnacentral:rRNA from 1 species